GGUUGUUCGUCUCUGUGUGUUUGCGCUGCGAUGGACUGGUGACCUGUCCAAGCUGCUGAGGUUCAAAUUGAGCAUCAGACUGAGAGGGGAAAAAAAGGUGGAUUUAAAGGAGACUGACCAGACUGGAGGUACAUGAUUGAAAGGCAGCAGUAACUCAAAUAACCACUUGUUAUAUCCAAUAAUGUCAAACCUUGAAGCAGAUGGACUGCAGAUGGACUGCAGCAGAAGACAACCUGUGUACCUAAUAAUGUGGCUGAUAUCACACUCAGCUUUUGUCCUGCCCGCUGAAACAUCACUGGAUACAGCGAAAAACAUGUCUG